rnacentral:lncRNA from 1 species
GUUCAGAAGUAACUUGUAGUUAUGUGUUUUAUACUGCUAAUGUACAAUCUGUUAUGUUCUGAAGUAACUUGUAGUUAUGUGUUUUAUACUGCUAAUGUACAAUCUGUUAUGUUCUGAAGUAACUUGCAGUUAUGUGUUUUAUACUGCUAAUGUACAAUCUGUUAUGUUCUGAAGUAACUUGCAGUUGUAUAUUUUAUACUGCUUGUGUACAAUUUGUUAUCUUCUGAGGUAACUUGUAGUUAUUUGUUUUAUACUGCUUGUGUACAAUCUGUUAUGUUUAGAAGUAACUUGUAGUUAUGUGUUUUAUUCUGCUAAUGUACAAUCUGUUAUUUUCUGAAGUUACUUGUACUUGUAUGUUUAUACUGCUUAUGUACAAUCUGUUAUGUUCUGAGGUAACUUGUAGCUGUAUAUUUUAUACUGCUUGUGUACAAUCUGUUAUGUUCUGAAGUAACUUGUAGUAAUGUGCUUGACACUGCUUAUGAACAAACUGUUAUGUUCUGAAGUAACUUGUAGUAAUGUGCUUGACACUGCUUAUGAACAAACUGUUAUGUUCUGAAGUAACUUGUAGUAAUGUGCUUGACACUGCUUAUGAACAACUGUAUGUUCUAAGUAACUGUUAUGUUCUGAAGUAACUUGCAGUUGUGUUUUAUACUGCAGGUGUACAAUCUGUUAUAUUCUAAAGUAACUUGUAGUUGUGUGUUUUAUACUGCUGGUGUACAAUAUGUUAUGUUCUGAAGUUAUUUGUUGUUGUGUGCUUUAUAUGUCUUAUGUACAAUUUGUUCUGUUCUGAAGUAACUUGUAAUUGUGUGUUUAAUACUGCUGGUGUACAAUUUGUUAUGUUCUGAAAUAAUUUGUUGUUGUGUGUUUUAUACUGCUUGUGUACAAUUUGUUCUGUUCUGAAGUAACUUGUUGUUGUGUGUUUUAUACUGCUUGUGUACAAUCUGUAAUGUUCUGAAGUAACUUGAAGUUGUGUGUUUUAUACUGCUGGUGUACAAUCUGUUAUGUUCUGAAGUAACUUGUAGUCAUGUGUUUUAUACUGCUGGUGUACAAUCUGUUCUGUUCUGAAGUAAUUUGUAGUUGUGUGUUCUAUACUGCUGGUGAACAAUCUGUUCUGUUCUGAAGAAACUUGCAGUUGUAUAUUUUAUACCUUUACAUACGUUUUUCUCUCAUUUAAACUGUUAAAUUAAAAACAGAUUUUGAUUUAAUAUUGAAUUCAGUAUAAUGAUAUAAAUAUCAGUUUCCAUUAUUAUAUUAUGUUCAGAAGUAACUUGUAGUUAUGUGUAUUAUACUGAUAAUGUACAAUCUGUUAUGUUCUGAAGUAACUUGCAGUUGUAUAUUUUAUACUGCUUAUGUACAAUUUGUUAUGUUCUGAAGAAACUUGUAUUAGUAUGUUUAAUACUGCUGGUGUACAAUUUGUUCUGUUCUGAGGUAACUUGUAGUUGUGUGUUUUAUACUGCUUAUGUACAAUUUGUUCUGUUCUGAAAUAACUUGUAGUUGUGUGUUUUAUACUGUUGGUGUACAAUUUGUUCUGUUCUGAAGUAACUUGUAGUUGUGUGUUUUAUAUUUCUUAUGUACAUUUUGUUAUGUUCUGAAGUAACUUGUAGUUGUGUGUUUUAUAUUUCUUAUGUACAAUUUGUUAUGUUCUGAAGUAACUUGUAGCUGUGUGUUUUAUACUGCUGGUGUACAAUUUGUUCUGUUCUGAAGUAAUUUGUAGUUGUGUGUUUUAUAUUUCUUAUGUACAAUUUGUUAUGUUCUGAAGUUUUGUAGUUGUGUGUUUUAUAUUUCUGAUGUACAAUUUGUUCUGUUCUGAAGUAAUUUGUAGUUGUGUGUUUUAUACUGCUGGUGUACAAUUUGUUCUGUUCUGAAGUAAUUUGUAGAACUUUGUUUGUUUUAUACUGCUUAUGUACAAUCUGUUAUGUUCUGAGUAAUUUGUAGUUGUGUGUUCUAUACUGCUGGUGUACAAUCUGUUCUGUUCUG